rnacentral:tRNA from 1 species
UGAGUUGCAACUCAAUGUUAAAGUGCUUUCCUUGCAUGAAUGAGAUCCUGGGUUCAAUUCCCAGCACUACAA